rnacentral:rRNA from 1 species
AUUGAACGCUGGCGGCAGGCUUAACACAUGCAAGUCGAGCGGGGGAAGGUAGCUUGCUACUGGACCUAGCGGCGGACGGGUGAGUAAUGCUUAGGAAUCUGCCUAUUAGUGGGGGACAACAUCUCGAAAGGGAUGCUAAUACCGCAUACGUCCUACGGGAGAAAGCAGGGGAUCUUCGGACCUUGCGCUAAUAGAUGAGCCUAAGUCGGAUUAGCUAGUUGGUGGGGUAAAGGCCUACCAAGGCGACGAUCUGUAGCGGGUCUGAGAGGAUGACCCGCCAAACUGGGACUGAGACACGGCCCAGACUCCUACGGGAGGCAGCAGUGGGGAAUAUUGGACAAUGGGGGGAACCCUGAUCCAGCCAUGCCGCGUGUGUGAAGAAGGCCUUAUGGUUGUAAGGCACUUUAAGCGAGGAGGAGGCUCUUUUGGUUAAUACCCAGAAUGAGUGGACGUUACUCGCAGAAUAAGCACCGGCUAACUCUGUGCCAGCAGCCGCGGUAA